rnacentral:rRNA from 1 species
AACGAACGCUGGCGGCAUGCCUAACACAUGCAAGUCGAACGAGACCUUCGGGUCUAGUGGCGCACGGGUGCGUAACGCGUGGGAAACUGCCCUUGGGUUCGGAAUAACAGGUGGAAACGACUGCUAAUACCGGAUGAUGACGUAAGUCCAAAGAUUUAUCGCGCAAGGAGGAGCCCGCGUAGGAUUAGCUAGUUGGUGAGGUAAAGGCUCCUCACGGCGACGAUCCGUAGCUGGUCUGAGAGGAGGAGCAGACACACUGGGAGUGAGAGACGGCCCAGACUCUUGGGCGAGGCAGGAGAGGGGAAUAUAGCAAUGUGGGCUAAAGCCUGAUGGAGCUCGGCCGGGAGAGUAAUGAAGGCCUGAGCGAUGUAAAGCGCUUUUACCCGGCGUGAUAAUGACGGUACCGGGAGAAUAAGCACCGGCUAACUCUGUG